GGUGGUUUUACCAAUCCCACCCAUGCCUACUAUUGGAAUCACUCCUAGGUCAUUGACAUUUGCAUCAUCAGAUAAUAGCAAGUCUAUUAAAGUGUUCUUAUCGCCAUCCCUACCAUAAAAACCAUAUUCAUCCACCACAGAAGUUGUUGGUAUUUUCUGCUGAAAAGGUUUUUCUUCUACACCCUCUUUCAAAUUCAGACCUA
rnacentral:misc_RNA from 1 species